GCAAACUUGGUCAUUUAGAGGAAGUAAAAGUCGUAACAAGGUUUCCGUAGGUGAACCUGCGGAAGGAUCAUUAUUGAAUGAAUUUGGUUGGGCUGUUGCUGGCUUAAUUACAAGCAUGUGCACGCCUCCCAAUUUUUUUCUUUUUAUCACCUGUGCACUUAUUGUAGACUUUUUCUGUUUUGUAAGGGGAGUUGCAAAAAAAAAUCUUUUCUUUUUUUGCUGUCCCUGACCUUUUCAAAAAAUAGAGAAAGUCUAUGUUUUUUUAUAUAAACCCCUAUUUGUAUGUCUGUGAUUGUUUUUGGGCUUUAUUUGCCUUUAAUUUAUAUUACAACUUUCAACAACGGAUCUCUUGGCUCUCGCAUCGAUGAAGAACGCAGC
rnacentral:misc_RNA from 1 species